rnacentral:tRNA from 1 species
AGCCAGUGUGGUGUAGUGGUUUGAGUGCUAGACAAUGACUCUGGAGACCAGGGUUUGAGUCCCAGCUGGGCUA